rnacentral:rRNA from 1 species
AGAGUUUGAUCCUGGCUCAGAAUCAACGCUGGCGGCGUGCCUAACACAUGCAAGUCGAACGAGAAAGGGGAGCAAUCCCUGAGUAAAGUGGCGACCGGGUGAGUAACACGUGACUAACCUACCCUUGAGUGGGGGAUAACCUCGGGAAACCGGGGCUAAUACCGCAUAACAUCCUUGAAGUGGAAACUUUGGGGAUCAAAGGAGCAAUUCGCUUAAGGAGGGGGUCGCGGCUGAUUAGCUAGUUGGCGGGGUAACGGCCCACCAAGGCUUUGAUCGGUAGCCGGCCUGAGAGGGCGCACGGCCACACUGGAACUGAAACACGGUCCAGACUCCUACGGGAGGCAGCAGUGGGGAAUUUUGCGCAAUGGGGGAAACCCUGACGCAGCAACGCCGCGUGGAGGAUGAAGUCCCUUGGGACGUAAACUCCUUUCGACCGGGAAAAUUAUGAUGGUACCGGUGGAAGAAGCACCGGCUAACUCUGUGCCAGCAGCCGCGGUAAUACAGAGGGUGCGAGCGUUGUUCGGAAUUAUUGGGCGUAAAGGGCGCGUAGGCGGUACGGUAAGUCACCUGUGAAACCUCUGGGCUUAACUCAGAGCCUGCAGGCGAAACUGCCGUGCUGGAGGGUGGGAGAGGUGCGUGGAAUUCCCGGUGUAGCGGUGAAAUGCGUAGAUAUCGGGAGGAACACCUGUGGCGAAAGCGGCGCACUGGACCACUACUGACGCUGAGGCGCGAAAGCUAGGGGAGCAAACAGGAUUAGAUACCCUGGUAGUCCUAGCCCUAAACGAUGAUUGCUUGGUGUGAUCGGUACCCAAUCCGAUCGUGCCGCAGCUAACGCGAUAAGCAAUCCGCCUGGGGAGUACGGUCGCAAGGCUGAACUCAAAGGAAUUGACGG